AUUGAACGCUGGCGGCAUGCCUUAAACAUGCAAGUCGAACGGUAACGCGGGGCAACCUGGCGACGAGUGGCGAAAGGGUGAGUAAUGCAUCGGAACGUGCCCAGAAGAGGGGGAUAGCCCGGCGAAAGCCGGAUUAAUACCGCAUACGACCUACGGGUGAAAGGGGGGGAUCGCAGGACCUCUCGCUAUUGGAGCGGCCGCUGUCAGAUUAGGUAGUUGGUGGGGGAAAGGCCUACCAAGCGGACGAUCGGCAGCGGGUCUGAGAGGACGACCAGCCACAGUGCGACUGAGACACUGCCCAGACUCCUAAGGGAGGCAGCAGUGGGGAAUUUUGGACAAUGGGCGCAAGCCUGAUCCAGCAAUGCCGCGUGCAGGAAGAAGGCCUUCGGGUUGUAAACUGCUUUUGUCAGGGAAGAAAUCCUCUAGGCUAAUACCUUGGGGGGAUGACGGUACCUGAAGAAUAAGCACCGGCUAACUACGUGCCAGCAGCCGCCGUAAUAC
rnacentral:rRNA from 1 species